rnacentral:rRNA from 1 species
UGGCUCAGAACGAACGCUGGCGGCGUGCUUAACACAUGCAAGGCGAACGCGAAAGGGACUUCGGUCCUGAGUAAAGUGGCGCACGGGUGAGUAACGCGUAGAUAACCUGUCUUCAUGUCUGGAAUAAUACGCCGAAAGGGGUACUAAUACCGGAUAUUCUUGCUUUUCAUAAGUUAUGCAAGCAAAGGUGGCCUCUGCAUAUGCUACUGCAUGAAGAGGGGUCUGCGUACCAUUAGCUAGUAGGUGGGGUAAUGGCCUACCUAGGCGACGAUGGUUAGCGGGUCUGAGAGGAUGAUCCGCCACACUGGCACUGGAACACGGGCCAGACUCCUACGGGAGGCAGCAGUGAGGAAUAUUGCGCAAUGGGGGAAACCCUGACGCAGCGACGCCGCGUGAAGUGAGGAAGGCCUUCGGGUCGUAAAGCUCUGUCAAGAGGAAAGAAGUGUACAAUGGCUAAUACCUGUUGUAUUUGACGGUACCUCUAAAGGAAGCACCGGCUAACUCCGUGCCAGCCGCUGC